rnacentral:tRNA from 1 species
GGGAGUGUGGCCGAGUUGGUUAUGGCGUUACGUUUAGGUAUUACUUCCGUAAUGGGUCCGCCCGCGCGCGUUCGAAUCGCGUCGCUCUCA